GGCAUCGGGAUUGAAGCUUGCUUCAAUUGCCGGCGACCGGCGCACGGGUGCGUAACGCGUAUGUAACCUACCUAUAACAGGGGCAUAACACUGAGAAAUUGGUACUAAUUCCCCAUAAUAUUCGGAGAGGCAUCUCUCCGGGUUGAAAACUCCGGUGGUUAUAGAUGGACAUGCGUUGUAUUAGCUAGUUGGUGAGGUAACGGCUCACCAAGGCAACGAUACAUAGGGGGACUGAGAGGUUAACCCCCCACACUGGUACUGAGACACGGACCAGACUCCUACGGGAGGCAGCAGUGAGGAAUAUUGGUCAAUGGACGCAAGUCUGAACCAGCCAUGCCGCGUGCAGGAAGACGGCUCUAUGAGUUGUAAACUGCUUUUGUACGAGGGUAAACUCACCUACGUGUAGGUGACUGAAAGUAUCGUACGAAUAAGGAUCGGCUAACUCCGUGCCAGCAGCCGCGGUAAUACGGAGGAUUCAAGCGUUAUCCGGAUUUAUUGGGUUUAAAGGGUGCGUAGGCGGUUUGAUAAGUUAGAGGUGAAAUCCCGGGGCUUAACUCCGGAACUGCCUCUAAUACUGUUAGACUAGAGAGUAGUUGCGGUAGGCGGAAUGUAUGGUGUAGCGGUGAAAUGCUUAGAGAUCAUACAGAACACCGAUUGCGAAGGCAGCUUACCAAACUAUAUCUGACGUUGAGGCACGAA
rnacentral:rRNA from 1 species